UACGCAGAGCCGGCGGGCCCACACAGGUCA
rnacentral:piRNA from 1 species